rnacentral:rRNA from 1 species
AUUGAACGCUGGCGGCAUGCUUUACACAUGCAAGUCGAACGGCAGCGCGGGCUUCGGCCUGGCGGCGAGUGGCGAACGGGUGAGUAAUACAUCGGAACGUGCCCAGUAGUGGGGGAUAGCUCGGCGAAAGCCGGAUUAAUACCGCAUACGACCUGAGGGUGAAAGCGGGGGAUCUUCGGACCUCGCGCUAUUGGAGCGGCCGAUGGCAGAUUAGCUAGUUGGUGGGGUAAAGGCCUACCAAGGCGACGAUCUGUAGCUGGUCUGAGAGGACGACCAGCCACACUGGGACUGAGACACGGCCCAGACUCCUACGGGAGGCAGCAGUGGGGAAUUUUGGACAAUGGGCGAAAGCCUGAUCCAGCAAUGCCGCGUGUGUGAUGAAGGCCUUCGGGUCGUAAAGCACUUUCGGCGGGAACGAAAAGGACUGUGCCAAUACCACGGUUCGAUGACGGUACCCGCAGAAUAAGCACCGGCUAACUACGUG